GACGAACGCUGGCGGCGUGCUUAACACAUGCAAGUCGAACGGAAAGGCCCCCACUAUUUUUGGUGGGGGUGCUCGAGUGGCGAACGGGUGAGUAACACGUGGGUGAUCUGCCCUGUACUUCGGGAUAAGCUUGGGAAACUGGGUCUAAUACCGGAUAGGACCAUGGUUUAGUGUCUCAUGGUGGAAAGAUGUUUUUUUGGUGCAGGAUGAGCUCGCGGCCUAUCAGCUUGUUGGUGGGGUAAUGGCCUACCAAGGCGUCGACGGGUAGCCGGCCUGAGAGGGUGGACGGCCACAUUGGGACUGAGAUACGGCCCAGACUCCUACGGGAGGCAGCAGUGGGGAAUAUUGCACAAUGGGCGCAAGCCUGAUGCAGCGACGCCGCGUGGGGGAUGACGGCCUUCGGGUUGUAAACUCCUUUCGUUAGGGACGAAGCCAUACU
rnacentral:rRNA from 1 species